AUAAACAAAACAAACGCUUGCACCUGCACGUUGGCGCGUUAAAGCGAAUUCAAAUUCAAGCGCUUGCGGUUGCGCGCUGCUGAGGGAGUCACGGUAUAGCAGAGAUGCAUGUCUAAUUGGCUGUUGGUUUCGAGUUGGUUUGAUCUAAAGUUGUAAUCACAGAUGGUUGUAAUUCGUUAACCUCAAAAUAACAUUAUCUUGAAACGGGCGUACCAAUGCAGAAAAAAUAACGGUUCUAUUAACGAAAAGAUACAAAUUCAAGAACUACAAUUGUUGAAAUUAAUGGUUACAUUGGACUGACCGCUGUUGUUUAUAGUUACAAUCAGGCCUUGCUUGGUUUGCUCUGUAGAAAAGUUGAUUUCUUGAGUAGUAGACCCAACAGGAAAGGUUAUUCGGGAGCAACUUGGAACGGAAGCAUUAGAUUGUUCAUCUCCCGUGACACUUGUGGAUGAUGACAAAAUUUGCGCUAUUCUCUCUUGGCCAUGAAGAGACUGGUCAACAUAACCACCCGCAACCGAUGCAGAUUUCCACCCUCCCAAUUGCUUUAAUUGAAGGGUGUCUCCACCGGCAUUUGCUAACAGAGUUGCCGCUGUUCGACGGAAACAAUGCCCCGGUAUUGAGCAAUUGUGGAAUGACCAAUUGGUUGUUUUGUAAUUUUCCCAAAACGCAUUUGUAGAAGAAAUCUCUCAUUGUCAAUAUUGUUACGCAGGUCAACAUACUGCUUUAAGAAACCUAUCCAUUUAGCAUCGGUCACCACAAACGAUCUACUAUUAUAGGUUUUCGUGUCGGGUAUAAUAAAGUUGACACGAUGUCCCAAAAAAUCUACAUGGGACAGCUUCAUUUUUAUGAGCUCAUCCGUUUUGCAGGCGCCUGAUAUGCCAAUUAUUAGAACAACCUACAAAUAAACACAAAGUUAGUACUGUAAUGAAAGUGGCUUUGUAUGAACUUGUAUCACUACAAAGCAUAAUUUAAUAAAAUGUUUACGUCUUUG